rnacentral:rRNA from 1 species
GAUGAACGCUGGCUACAGGCUUAACACAUGCAAGUCGAGGGGAAACGGCGUUGAGUGCUUGCACUGAAUGGACGUCGACCGGCGCACGGGUGAGUAACGCGUAUCCAACCUUCCCGUUACUGCGGGAUAACCUGCCGAAAGGCAGACUAAUACCGCAUGUUCUUCGAUGACGGCAUCAGAUUCGAAGCAAAGACUCGUCGGUAACGGAGGGGGAUGCGUCUGAUUAGCUUGUUGGCGGGGCGACGGCCCACCAAGGCGACGAUCAGUAGGGGUUCUGAGAGGAAGGUCCCCCACAUUGGAACUGAGACACGGUCCAAACUCCUACGGGAGGCAGCAGUGAGGAAUAUUGGUCAAUGGGCGGAAGCCUGAACCAGCCAAGUAGCGUGCAGGACGACGGCCCUACGGGUUGUAAACUGCUUUUAUGCGGGGAUAAAGUGAGGGACGCGUCCCUUUUUGCAGGUACCGCAUGAAUAAGGACCGGCUAAUUCCGUGCCAGCAGCCGCGGUAAUACGGAAGGUCCGGGCGUUAUCCGGAUUUAUUGGGUUUAAAGGGAGCGUAGGCCGGGGAUUAAGUGUGUUGUGAAAUGUAGGCGCCCAACGUCUGACUUGCAGCGCAUACUGGUUCCCUUGAGUACGCGCAACGCCGGCGGAAUUCGUCGUGUAGCGGUGAAAUGCUUAGAUAUGACGAAGAAUCCCGAUUGCGAAGGCAGCCGGCGGGAGCGCAACUGACGCUGAAGCUCGAAGGUGCGGGUAUCGAACAGG